GCGCACGCUGGCGGCAGGCCUCACCCAUGCCAGUCGCACGAACCUUUCGGGGUUAGUGGCGGACGGGUGAGUAACACGUGGGAACGUGCCUUUAGGUUCGGAAUAACUCAGGGAAACUUGUGCUAAUACCGAAUGUGCCCUUCGGGGGAAAGAUUAAUCGCCUUUAGAGCGGCCCGCGUCUGAUUAGCUAGUUGGUUGAGGUAAUGGCUCACCAAGGCGACGAUCAGUAGCUGGUCUGAGAGGAUGAUCAGCCACAUUGGGACUGAGACACGGCCCAAACUCCUACGGGAGGCAGCAGUGGGGAAUCUUGCGCAAUGGGCGAAAGCCUGACGCAGCCAUGCCGCGUGAAUGAUGAAGGUCUUAGGAUUGUAAAAUUCUUUCACCGGGGACGAUAAUGACGGUACCCGGAGAAGAAGCCCCGGCUAACUUCGUG
rnacentral:rRNA from 1 species